AGAGUUUGAUCCUGGCUCAGAACGAACGCUGGCGGCAUGCCUAACACAUGCAAGUCGAACGAGAUCUUCGGGUCUAGUGGCGCACGGGUGCGUAACGCGUGGGAAUCUGCCCUUGGGUUCGGAAUAACUUCGGGAAACUGAAGCUAAUACCGGAUGAUGACGUAAGUCCAAAGAUUUAUCGCCCAAGGAUGAGCCCGCGUAGGAUUAGCUAGUUGGUGAGGUAAAGGCUCACCAAGGCGACGAUCCUUAGCUGGUCUGAGAGGAUGAUCAGCCACACUGGGACUGAGACACGGCCCAGACUCCUACGGGAGGCAGCAGUGGGGAAUAUUGGACAAUGGGCGAAAGCCUGAUCCAGCAAUGCCGCGUGAGUGAUGAAGGCCUUAGGGUUGUAAAGCUCUUUUGCCCGGGAUGAUAAUGACAGUACCGGGAGAAUAAGCUCCGGCUAACUCCGUGCCAGCAGCCGCGGUAAUACGGAGGGAGCUAGCGUUGUUCGGAAUUACUGGGCGUAAAGCGCACGUAGGCGGCUUUGUAAGUUAGAGGUGAAAGCCUGGAGCUCAACUCCGGAAUUGCCUUUAAGACUGCAUCGCUUGAAUCCAGGAGAGGUGAGUGGAAUUCCGAGUGUAGCGGUGAAAUGCGUAG
rnacentral:rRNA from 1 species